rnacentral:rRNA from 1 species
UACAGAGGGCGCGAGCGUUGUCCGGAAUCACUGGGCGUAAAGGGCGCGUAGGCGGCCUGAUAAGUAGGGGGUGAAAUCCUGCGGCUUAACCGCAGGGCUGCCUUCUAAACUGUCAGGCUUGAGCACAGUAGAGGCAGGUGGAAUUCCCGGUGUAGCGGUGGAAUGCGUAGAGAUCGGGAAGAACAUCAGUGGCGAAGGCGGCCUGCUGGGCUGUUGCUGACGCUGAGGCGCGACAGCGUGGGGAGCAAACAGG